UUGGCUUAGAAGCAGCCAUCCUUGAAAGAGUGCGUAAUAGCUCACUGGUCAAGUGGUUCUGCGCCGACAAUGUAGCGGGGCUCAAGCGUACCGCCGAAGCUGUGGCAACAACACGUGAUGCUGGCGCCAGGAACUGGAGUGCUGGUGUGUUGUUGGGUAGGGGAGCGUCCUGCACGAGGUGAAGCCUGGAGGGAACUUCUGGUGGAUUGUGUGGGAGUGAGAAUGCAGGCAUGAGUAACGAAUCUGCGGUGAGAAUCCGCAGCGCCGAUUGACUAAGGGUUCCAGGGCUAGGUUUAUCCGCCCUGGGUUAGUCGGGUCCUAAGGCGAGGCCGACAGGCGUAGUCGAUGGACAACCAGUUGAUAUUCUGGUACCGCGUUAUGACCGCCCAUGCUGAAGUCAUUGUGCUAACCAAUUUGCUCACACCACCUCUAAGCCUUCGGGUUUUUGGGUGUGUGUGGGUCUUGGGGCCCCGGUGAUUGUAGGCAAGCGUGUUAACAGGGGUGACGCAGACAGGUAGCUGCAGUGCGCCGAUGGUUGUGCGUAUUUAAGGUUGUGGCCCGCCUCCCAGGCAAAUCCGGGGGGCAUGUGGGUGAGAACUGAUGAGGGACACACGCGUGUGUGGACUUGUGGUGAUCCUAAGCUGCCGAGAAAAGCCUCGACGUGAGGGCAUAACGCGCCCGUACCCUAAACCGACUCAGGUGGUCAGGUAGAGUAUACCGAGGCGUUCGAGUGAAUCGUGGUUAAGGAACUCGGCAAAAUUCCUCCGUAACUUCGGGAUAAGGAGGACCCCGUGACUUCCCAAUGCUUUGCGUGUUGGUGGGGUUGUGGGGUCGCAGAGAAUAGGGAGAAGCGACUGUUUAUCAAAAACACAGGUGCGUGCGAAGCCGUAAGGCGAUGUAUACGCACUGACGCCUGCCCGGUGCUGGAAGGUUAAGAGGAACCGUCAACACCCCCCGGGGUGUGAAGCGGUGAAUUUAAGCCCCAGUAAACGGCGGUGGUAACUAUAACCAUCCUAAGGUAGCGAAAUUCCUUGUCGGGUAAGUUCCGACCUGCACGAAUGGCGUAACGACUUCUCCGCUGUCUCAACCGCGAACUCGGUGAAAUUGCAGUACGAGUAAAGAUGCUCGUUUCGCGCAGAAGGACGGAAAGACCCCGGGACCUUUACUACAGCUUGGUAUUGGCGCCCGCUAUAGCUUGUGCAGGAUAGGUGGGAGACUGUGAAGCCGUUACGCCAGUGGCGGUGGAGUCGUCCUUGAAAUACCACUCUGGUUAUGGCGUGCGCCUGAACCUGGGCCCGUGAUCCGGGUUAGGGACAGUGCCUGGUGGGUAGUUUAACUGGGGCGGUUGCCUCCUAAAAUGUAACGGAGGCGCUCAAAGGUUCCCUCAGCCUGGUUGGUAAUCAGGUGGCGAGUGCAAGUGUACAAGGGAGCUUGACUGUGAGACCGACGGGUCGAGCAGGUGCGAAAGCAGGAACUAGUGAUCCGGCCAUGGCACGUGGGUGCGUGGUCGCUCAACGGAUAAAAGGUACCCCGGGGAUAACAGGCUGAUCUUGCCCAAGAGUCCAUAUCGACGGCAUGGUUUGGCACCUCGAUGUCGGCUCGUCGCAUCCUGGGGCUGGAGUCGGUCCCAAGGGUUGGGCUGUUCGCCCAUUAAAGCGGUACGCGAGCUGGGUUCAGAACGUCGUGAGACAGUUCGGUCCCUAUCCUCUGUGCGCGCAGGAAAUUUGAGAAGGGCCGUCCCUAGUACGAGAGGACCGGGAUGGACGAACCUCUGGUGUGCCAGUUGUACCGCCAGGUGCAUGGCUGGUUGGCUACGUUCGGAAGGGAUAACCGCUGAAAGCAUCUAAGCGGGAAGCCUGCUUCAAGAUGAGGUUUCCACGCCCCCCAGUGGGGUGAGAGGCCCCCGCCAGACUAGCGGGUAGAUAGGCCAGAGGUGGAAGCACCGCAAGGUGCUCG
rnacentral:rRNA from 1 species